ACAUGUUUUUGAUUUUAUGUAAUGUAAUGAAAAUCUUAUUUGUAAAUUAUUGGUUACAAUGUUUAACAAUAGGAAAUAUUCAAGAAUAAAUAAAAUAAAAGUUUAAUCCUAACAACACAAAACAUUCCAGGAAUAUAGGUACUACCGUUCUAUUCCGUGAACAUCUAUCUGAUUAAAUUAUGGGUGGAAAGUUACCACAAGAUAUUCUAUGAACAUAGUACAAUGUCUUCCUGGAGGGGUAAAAUUUUCCAUUACAAGAUUUUAAGAGAGGCCAUUUACUGUUCAAUUUGCGUUCAUUUUCAAAUUUGCCGCGCGAGUAUCUAUGUAGCGUCGCGUGGUCAUUGGUCAUCACAUUUCAUUUUCAUAAGAUAACCGAUAACCUAAAAAUUUAGUAAAAAUCAUGUAAAAAUUUUGAUUGGAAAAAAAUGCAUCGAUAAGGGGGUGUGGGAAAUGGAAAUUAGUGGCUUUUCUGCUGUACUGUCUGCUAGUCAAAUCACACAACACUUUUUUCUAUGCUGCUAGUUUUUGCUCUGGGCUCUGGCUGGAUCUCUUGUUUAAACAAUUUUAAUCAGCUGAAAGUGGCCUACAAAAAAAAAACCAAGAAGGAAAUGUAUAGCCUUGUGGCUAUGAAAGGCAAAAGAGAGAUAUAAAAAGUAUAUUGGCUAGUUGGAAGAAAGUCCACAUUGUCCAUGCAUAAUAAGUUAUUACUUUAUCAACAAAUAUCAAGAAGAUAGCAGGGUCACGAGCAACAACUUCAUAAGUUCAAGAAUAUCGAGGAAAUCCAGCUCCUCGAUACUACUGGG